rnacentral:rRNA from 1 species
GAUCCUGGCUCAGGAUGAACGCUGGCGGCGCGCCUAACACAUGCAAGUCGAACGGCACCCACCCUCGGGUGGAAGCGAGUGGCGAACGGCUGAGUAACACGUGGAGAACCUGCCCCCUCCCCCGGGAUAGCCGCCCGAAAGGACGGGUAAUACCGGAUACCCCGGGGUGCCGCAUGGCACCCCGGCUAAAGCCCCGACGGGAGGGGAUGGCUCCGCGGCCCAUCAGGUAGACGGCGGGGUGACGGCCCACCGUGCCGACAACGGGUAGCCGGGUUUGAGG